UACAGAGGUGGCAAGCGUUGUUCGGAAUUACUGGGCGUAAAGGGCGCGUAGGCGGUUCGUUAAGUCCUGUGUGAAAUCCCCCGGCUCAACUGGGGAACUGCACAGGAAACUAGCGGGCUUGAGUUCGGGAGAGGGAAGCGGAAUUCCGGGUGUAGCGGUGAAAUGCGUAGAUAUCAGGAAGAACACCCGUGGCUAAGGCGGCUCUCUAGUACGGUACUGACGCUGAGACGCGAAAGCGUGGGGAGCGAACAGG
rnacentral:rRNA from 1 species